rnacentral:rRNA from 1 species
UACAGAGGUGGCAAGCGUUGUUCGGAAUUAUUGGGCGUAAAGAGCUCGUAGGCGGUCUGUCGCGUCGAUCGUGAAAACUUGGGGCUUAACCCUGAGCUUGCGGUCGAUACGGGCAUGACUGGAGUUCGGCAGGGGAGACUGGAAUUCCUGGUGUAGCGGUGAAAUGCGCAGAUAUCAGGAGGAACACCGGUGGCGAAGGCGGGUCUCUGGGCCGAUACUGACGCUGAGGAGCGAAAGCGUGGGGAGCGAACAGG